AAAUGGAAGAAUAAUAUCAAUCAUAUUAUAUUAGUAACAUCAAGUAAAUGACCAAAAUAAUCACCAAAAUAUUUAAAAUGGUGCAGUUUCAUCGCUGAACUUUUUUUUGUGACCAAAAGGAUCAUCCAACUAGAAAAAACGAGCCUUUAAGAUCACUUUUUACUAAAUUAACUGGAAUUGCAAAUUUUCAAGUACAAAAAUGUACUUUUACUCACACAACCCUCCUUUCAACUCAACAGCGCUGCUCCAUUUUCCCAUUUUCCUGCUCCUCUUACUCUCCACUGAUGAAUGCUUUAAAGUUGUUCUUAGAGAUUUAGAGUAGGAGUAUGUGGACACAAUCAUACAAGAAACACGAAAGAAAGCAAUGCUUCAUUAUUGUCAUUAUUUCACUCUUUCCGUGCAUUAAGAUCAUCACCGUCAUCGUCAUCAUCUUCUUCUUUGUCUUCUGGUGUGUGAUAUCAGGCUGUGAUGAUGCCUAUCUUUCUCUCUGAGUUGUAAUUUGGGAAUGAAGCUUAUGGGUCCGUAACUUGGCUCCUGAUGGCAUUAUGGGCUCCUCCAUCUUGCCUGAUUUUUUGAUAGAUCUGAGCCUUUCUUUUUUCCAUAUUUACUCAUAUCUUUCAGCUUAGACGGAAAGAAGCAGCUGAGAGAUGGGUUUUUUCUCCUCCUCUCUGCUUCGCUUAUAAUUUCUUCAUAACCUGGUUCGAGGGGUCCACCGGGUUGAUAUCUUGAAAUUUAGAUCUAGUUGAGAGGAGGGGAGGGGGAUCAGGAGAGAUGAAGAGAGGGGAACGAAGGAGAGAGAGUG
rnacentral:lncRNA from 1 species